rnacentral:rRNA from 1 species
UACGUAGGUGGCAAGCGUUGUCCGGAAUUAUUGGGCGUAAAGCGCGCGCAGGCGGUCCUUUAAGUCUGAUGUGAAAGCCCACGGCUCAACCGUGGGGGGUCAUUGGAAACUGGGGGACUUGAGUACAGAAGAGAAGAGUGGAAUUCCACGUGUAGCGGUGAAAUGCGUAGAGAUGUGGAGGAACACCUGCGGCGAAGGCGGGUUGCUGGGCUGACACUGACGCUGAUGCGCGAAAGCGUGGGGAGCAAACAGG